rnacentral:misc_RNA from 1 species
GAUGAAGAACGUAGCGAAAUGCGAUACGUAAUGUGAAUUGCAGAAUUCAGUGAAUCAUCGAAUCUUUGAACGCACAUUGCGCCCGCCAGUAUUCUGGCGGGCAUGCCUGUUCGAGCGUCAUUUCAACCCUCAAGCCCCCGGGCUUGGUGUUGGGGAUCGGCGUGCCCUCGCGGCGCGCCGUCCCCUAAAUCUAGUGGCGGUCUCGCUGUAGCUUCCUCUGCGUAGUAGCAACACUCGCACUGGAUCGCAGCGCGGCCACGCCGUUAAACCCCCCACUUCUGAAAGUUUGACCUCGGAUCAGGUAGGAAUACCCGCUGAACUUAAGCAUAUCAAUAAGCGGAGGA